AACGAACGCUGGCGGCAGGCUUAACACAUGCAAGUCGAACGGACGUAGCAAUACGUUAGUGGCGCACGGGUGAGUAACACGUGGAUAUCUGCCUUUUGGUUCGGGAUAACCCUGGGAAACUAGGGCUAAUACCGAAUGGUUCCUACGGGAUAAAGAUUUAUCGCCAAAAGAUGAGUCCGCGUACCGAUUAGCUAGUUGGUGAGGUAAUGGCUCACCAAGGCGACGAUCGGUAGCUGGUCNGAGAGGACGAUCAGCCACACUGGGACUGAGACACGGCCCAGACUCCUACGGGAGGCAGCAGUGGGGAAUAUUGGACAAUGGGGGCAACCCUGAUCCAGCCAUGCCG
rnacentral:rRNA from 1 species